GGGAGGCAGCAGUAGGGAAUCUUCCACAAUGGGCGAAAGCCUGAUGGAGCAACGCCGCGUGAGUGAAGAAGGUUUUCGGAUCGUAAAACUCUGUUGUAAGGGAAGAACAAGUACAGUAGUAACUGGCUGUACCUUGACGGUACCUUAUUAGAAAGCCACGGCUAACUACGUGCCAGCAGCCGCGGUAA
rnacentral:rRNA from 1 species